CCUACGGGACGCAGCAGUGAGGAAUCUUGGUCAAUGGACGAGAGUCUGAACCAGCCAAGUAGCGUGAAGGAUGACUGCCCUAUGGGUUGUAAACUUCUUUUAUAUGGGAGUAAAAUGUUCCACGUGUGGGAUUUUGUAUGUACCAUAUGAAUAAGGAUCGGCUAACUCCGUGCCAGCAGCCGCGGUAAUACGGAGGAUCCGAGCGUUAUCCGGAUUUAUUGGGGUUAAAGGGAGCGUAGGUGGAUUGUUAAGUCAGUUGUGAAAGUUUGCGGCUCAACCGUAAAAUUGCAGUUGAAACUGGCAGUCGUGAGUACAGUAGAGGUGGGCGGAAGUCGUGGUGUAGCGGUGAAAUGCGUAGAUAUCACGAAGAACUCCGAUUGCGAAGGCAGCUCACUGGACUGCAACUGACACUGAGGCUCGAAAGUGUGGGUAUCAAACAGGAUUAGAUACCCUGGUAGUC
rnacentral:rRNA from 1 species